AUCAAUAAGCGGAGGAAAAGAAACCAACAGGGAUUGCCCCAGUAAUGGCGAAUGAAGCGGCAAGAGCCCAAAUUUGAAAUCGGGCAACCGAGUUGUAAUUUGGAGACGGGACACUAGAGAGGAGGAAGGCGAUUAAGUGCCUUGGAACAGGCUGCCGUAGAGGGUGAGAGCCCCGUGAAUCGCUGGAGACCGAUCAAUUAGUGCCCGCCGAAGAGUCGAGUUGUUUGGGAAUGCAGCUCUAAGUGGGUGGUAUAUUCCAUCUAAGGCUAAAUAUUAGCGAGAGACCGAUAGCAAACAAGUACAGUGAUGGAAAGAUGAAAAGAACUUUGGAAAGAGAGUGAAAUAGUACGUGAAAUUGUUGAAAGGGAAGGGUAUUUGAUCCGACAUGGUGUUUAGCAGCGGCCCGUUCCUCGUGGAUGGGUGCACCUGGUUUACACUGGGCCAGCAUCGGUUCUGGGAGCCAUAUACGGGGUUCGUGAAUGUGGCCCUUCGAUUCUGUCGGAGGGUGUUAUAGCGCGGACAUCUUGUGGCUAGCCGGGACCGGGGACUGCGGUGACUUGUCACCAAGGAUGCUGGCAGAACGAGCAAAUACCACCCGUCUUGAAACAUGGACCAAGGAGACUAACGUCUAUGCGAGUGUUUGGGUGGAUAAAACCCAUUAACGCGGAAUGAAAGUGAACGUAGGUCGGAGCCCCCUUGGGGGCGCACGAUCGACCGAUCCCGAUGUUUUACCGGAGGGAUUUGAGUAAGAGCAUAGCUGUUGGGACCCGAAAGAUGGUGAACUAUGCCUGAAUAGGGUGAAGCCAGAGGAAACUCUGGUGGAGGCUCGCAGCGGUUCUGACGUGCAAAUCGAUCGUCGAAUUUGGGUAUAGGGGCGAAA
rnacentral:rRNA from 1 species